GACGAACGCUGGCGGCGUGCUUAACACAUGCAAGUCGAACGGAAAGGCCCUGCUUUUGUGGGGUUCUCGAGUGGCGAACGGGUGAGUAGCACGUGAGUAACCUGCCCUUUACUUUGGGAUAACUUCAGGAAACUGGGGCUAAUACCGGAUAGGAGCUCCUGCUGCAUGGUGGGGGUUGGAAAGUUUCGGCGGUUGGGGAUGGACUCGCGGCUUAUCAGCUUGUUGGUGGGGUAGUGGCUGACCAAGGCUUUGACGGGUAGCCGGCCUGAGAGGGUGACCGGCCACAUUGGGACUGAGAUACGGCCCAGACUAAUACGGGAGGCAGCAGUGGGGAAUAUUGCACAAUGGGCGGAAGACUGAUGCAGCAACGCCGCGUGCGGGAUGACGGCCUUCGGGUUGUAAACCGCUUUCGCCUGUGACGAAGCGUGAGUGACGGUAAUGGGUAAAGAAGCACCGGCUAACUACGUG
rnacentral:rRNA from 1 species